CUUGGUGCUCAAAGCCGGACAGGGCUCUGCUAGCCGUAACUGAGGACUGCAGCAAGGAAAGGGCGACGCCACUCUCCAGUCGCUGUGUGUUUUAUCCCUUUCCCAGCGGGCAAGCUGGAGUGUUUCAGCCGAGUCACCUGUCAGAGCAAGAGCGAUGGCGGCCUUUGGUUACUGCCCAGCUGCCGCUCUGCCUUCCCCCGGGAUAAAAGGGGCUGGCACUAACAACUGUGCACAGCUGAACCCCAAAGCACCUGUGCGACACAGGUGUCUGGGACCAGCUUCCAGCGCCAUGCCACGUGCCCACAGCCUGCGUCCUUCCCCCAGACAGCUCCGAGGCUGGAGCCGGUCUUGCUGAUGCAACCCCGCGAGGGCCGGGGUGAAGGAGAGUGCAGAGCUGUGUGUCAGAGGUAGGAGCUCCCCUUUGGCGAUGAUGGAAAGCACAGCGCAUUCAAAUCAAAGACAGGACGGGGGUUGCUUUGAAUCGCUGUGUUCCAGAGCUAUCUGAGGCAAUCUUCCUUCGCUGCACACAGCGAGGUAGCGAGGGAAAAGAUCAUAGUGCAGCCCAGGUUUUUUGUGUGAACAUGUCCAGGCUGGCACGCAGCUGGGGUAAGGACAAGGUGCUUCUGUAGGUUUGAUUCGUGUCAGAGCUAGGGGCAGAACUAGGGAGGGAGUGGGAAGCCUGAAUAUCUGGUCUGCUGCUGGAAAAUAUAGGCCACUGAGUAAGAUGGGGCAGGCUUGUUUGAUCUAGCUUGAUAUGCUAGGCGUUUGUGCUUAGAGCUCUCUUUCCCAGUGUCUGCUGCUUAUUCCUGUUAAAGGCAAAAAAAAGGUACAAAACAUAAAGGAUUAAAACAAGUGAAAGAGCUCUCACCUUCCUGCAGGAGUAAAUUUUGGAGUAUUUUUUAUUAUUCGCUCAGCGUUGUUGAUAUGCUUGACUCUCUGUUACAUGUAAAGAUAAUCCCGCCAUGAAGAACUCAGACUGCAGUGAUAAGGGAGGCCAGUUGGUGCAUCUCUUUUGUCCCACCCCUUCAGUGAAAGAUUAUUCCUUGUACCUUAUCAAAAGGAAGCAGCCUUUCAUGUGCUGUACCUUGUCAGCUCUUCUCCUGCUCAUCGCUGUGCUCGCUCAGCUGUGCUCAUUGCAUCACUUGUGCUGGAGGGGAGGCAGCAAGAGGUGGAACCGUCGGGGACAGCAGCAGUCGUGUGAUCCGUGGCCCUCUAGUCACAUCGUCCUAACCAGGACCUGCAACCUAAGAAGAGACGCCAGCAUUCCUUGAGGACUGCACUGCACAUGCUGAGGACAAAGAGCAGCUCCUUCUGGCUUUUUGCAUGAUUAGUUGCAGCUCUCCGCCUGGAUCUUCCUUGUUCCGAUGGUUUGAUUUUUACAGUAGUGUGCUGUGCAUAUUUUGCAAGUUACAGCUUGAAACUUCCUCCUAGCAGCAGGCCUGUCAUUUGAAGGAACCCCACCCUGCUCUCCCUUGAAGAUGUGCAAUCCAGGCUGUGUCUGAGCAUGCCUGGGGAGGCAGGUGCAGCCUGGCUGGAUCCUCCACACUGCCUACAAAUAAACACUACUUAAACAAAUUGGACUAAUAACAUUCAAGACUCAAGUAAUAAGCAGGGCAGUUUCUGCUCUGUAGUCUUUAUUCCGUGCUUCUCCCAUCCCCUCUCCCUCUGCUUUAUAUUCUGAAAUAUGUGCCACGAUCACAUUGCUGUGGCAAUUAAUUACAGCACAACUUUAUAGCACUGGAUAACAAUAGCAGUAGAUAAUACGUAGCACCUUCAUUGAAAGCAACAACGCCAGAUUAAAGUUGCUUUAAAAAAAAAAGCACGUUUCCUUCCUGCUGUUGCAAAUAAAGAGCUACAUGAAAU